rnacentral:lncRNA from 7 species
UGGAUUUCUCCCACCGACAAAUUCCCUUUUCUUUUCCUCUGAAUUUUCUAAUUUCUUUUAUUUUUCUUUAUUUCAAAUACAUGGAGAUAUAUUUAUACAUUUGAAUAUUUUGCUUAUUCACAAUAAGCUCAGAAAUAAAAUAUCCCUUUCAAGAAAAUAACAAUUUAGGGUAAGUCCCAAAUAUGUAAAUAAUUUUAUCUUCACAAAAAUAAAUAGAGUACCAAAGUAAAUCAUUUUAAAACUCUUUAAUAAACAAAAGACAUGCUCCAAAAAUGAAUGCAUCACAUAAUUCAAACUCUAUUUUGAAAGUAAUUAUCUUUUCUCUAAAGGUCUCAUGCUCAACUCAAAUUGUUUCAAAGAGGAGGACUUGAGGUGUUACAUAAAGAGAAGAGAAGGAGGGUCUCAUCUUCAGGAAAUACAUCAGCCAUGGGUAACAAUGAUUUAAGUGGAGCACAAACAUCGAAUGAUAGUGCAAUGAAAGUGCAGCUCCUGGAGGGAGGGGAAGAGGAAGGGGAAGGGGAAGGGGAAGAGGAGGAAGAGGGAGGCUAGCAACAUUACUUGGGUUUGAGUGGUUAUGGGACUUAUAUGCUAGGUGCCUUCUUUUGUAUGAACAUGAACAUGUGAUGAUUAUGGACCUUC